CCGCAACCGCGCACACGCCGCGCACCCACACACCCACGGGAGGACCGCGGGCUGCCGCUCCCCCAACCCACCGCAAAGGUGCUGGGGGCGGCCCGCCGCAGCUGUGUGCAGGGUUCUCCGCGCCUGCGGUUUGACACGGGGUGGUUAGGGCAGCCGGAGCGGCGCGACCCCCGGCUCUGCCUGGCUCCGCUGCCGGGCCCGCUUGCCCUUCAUUUACGGGACAGCCGUCCCCGAGGAGCGGCGGGUGACCCGCAUGGUUCCCACAGCACCGCGGACAUCGCCCGGGAGUCCCGCGUCCCCCGUGCGAGCUCUCGAUGGCGUUUGUUCCUGGGCGUUUUCCCCCGCCCGCGGAAGGGGUCGCAACCGUACAGAGGGACACCUGGACUGGCAGCCUCCGAGGCAGCCGCUGCCGGGCUGGCGUCUUCUGUCAGCCCUUCUGCUUCCCGCCCCCGUGGACAAGGACGCGGCCCCGAGGGGCGCCCAUCGCCGCUCGACAUGUCGAGGCGGCCGCCGGGCCCCCAGCCGGGAGUCAUUCCCCCCUCGGCACAACCCAGCCACCGGCCGCGCCUGUCGGCAGCACCGCCGGGGGCAAGGCCGGGCCGGCGGGCGGGCCGCGCCGUACGGGCAGCAGCGGGCCGCCGGCGCCUGCCCCGCCAGCCCGCCUGGGCCCGCGGAGCCGGUAACAACGAUGCUGUGUAGAGGCGUGGCUGUCCUUUCGGGAUGGGUUGUAUGUUUUCCGUUUGUUUCUUUGUUUGUUUUGGUGUUUUUUUUUUUUUUUUUUUUUUUUUUUGGGGGGGGGGGUUCUGGUCAUGAAUGCCGUGGGCUCGCCGCAGCUGGAGUUACCCGGGCUGGGAAUGGGGCGAACCCGACCCGCUGCCGCCGCCGAGGUGAAGCCCCGGUCUGUUCCCGCAGCGCUCUCGACACAGAUGUGGGGUUCCCUCCGUGUAAUUUCACACCACUCGUUCUCCCGUGUUUCCUCUCUCCGCCGCGUUCCGGCCGGCACGGCCACCCGCGGGACAACUCCUCCUCCGCCACCCCCGGCAGCUCAGCAGCCGCGGCGGCGGCCGGCCGCGCUCCCCCGGGGCCGAGUGCACUUUGAAGGGGAGCGACAGCAGCUGCGGCGGGGUGGGUAGGACGGUGUGCAUGGGGUGGGCGCGUCCGCGGAGGGGACAUUACCAGGACUCGGAAAGGGCCACAGGGAGGGAGCCGGGGCUGCUGCCUGCCGCCGGGUCUUGCGCAAGGCGGCGGCUGUCCCGGGGGCGGUCCUCGGUGCAGCUCCGCGGCGGGGCCGGCAGAGGGGGCCCGCCGCCCGUCCGGCGGAGAAAAGCCGGCGGGGUGGGCCACCGCGCGGUACCCGGGGAGGGCGGCCACUCUCUACUGGGCCUGCUGCUGCCAGCACGGUAUGUUCCUACCAGUGCCCACGCGUGGCUUCUGUCCCGAGGGACACGCGAUCCGCCGCAUCCCCUGGGACGUGGUUCCAUGAGGAGCCCCCUUGCGCGGCGUCUGGCCGUGAGACCCCGGCUGGGUGAAGACAGGACAGAGGGCAACCUCAGUUUUGCCGACACCCGCUUUGGAAAUGCUCUGGAGUUGGGAAAAUAAAUGUCCGUUCGCGUUUUGGCACCCGCGACCUGUGGGGACGGGAGCGGAGCGAGCUCUUGUCAUUUACACCACCUAGUUUACACGCAAUUAAACUGAGAGCGGGCUGAGCACCCUCGGUGAAAGAAAUCGGCUUUUGCCUCUCCGGAGCCUGCUGCUGGGGAGAGGGGUGCUCAGGGUCCCCUGCGAAACAGGACUUCCUGCGUGGAGACCUCCGCAGCACAACUGAGUCCAGGAAGAGGCGCAGCAGCCUUCCAUCAAAUAGAGGGCACAAGCGUCAGGUGUGGGUUCCCUCGUAUCUCUAAAGUGCGGGUCAGGAGCGCCUUCCCCUCUGCGGGGAGUUGCAAGGCUGCGACUGCCCCUUUCUGCCUCGCUGUCCCUUUGCGGGGGGUUCGGUUCGGUGGCACCGCGCCUUGGGCUGCCCAUCGCAGGGCUGCCCUUCCGCGCCCGGGGCUGCUCCGCGGAAUCUCCGCGCCGAAGAGUUACAGCUUCAUUUUCGCAUAACCUGCCCCCUUGCCUCCUUCCCCGCUGUGCACCCCCAGCUCCUCCAAGCGCUGGUGAGAGCGCCGACCCAGGUAGGGGGGCGGCUCAGCCUGCCCUCCGCCGCACUCGCAACAGGUCCCUGUUUUCAGCAAGCGAAUUUGGUGCAGAAAGAUCUCUAUUUCACGUAGAUUCUAUGGUUCGUGUGCGUGUUUUGUUGUUUUUUUUUUUUUUUGUUUGUUUGUUUGUUUGUUGUUUUUUUUUUUUUUUAAUUCCGUCUCUUAACACGUUUACUUCUUUCUUGUAUGACACUAUUUUAAAUUAAAAUUAUUAGGGAGACGAUUCCUUCUGUUUUAAGGAAAAAAAUUAUACGGGCAAAUGGUUGUUACAAACUACAGCUUAAAAGCCAUCUGGGGUAUACUAAUGGUUGAUAACUUUUUACGGCCAUUGUAGAGAUAAGAAGGGUUAUUUUACUGAUGUAUGUACAUUUAGAUACAUCGCUUAAAAUAUAAAAAUACGCACUUAGUUGUGCGUAGUGUUCUAUUUAUUUAUUUAUUUAUUUUUACCCAAGAGGUAGGAGUAUUUUACAUUUAAAUUAAUGAAUAUAUCGAGCUGAAUUUCACGCUCUGCUUUGCAUCCCACCUUAAUCUGAACUCCUUAUAAAUAUAAAACAAACCGAUCUUAUUACACAUGUGUAACAGUUAGAAAGAUACAAAAUGCCACGAUUUAACAGGAGACGCAGAAAAUACUACAUGCUUACAGUUUUGUACAACUUAGCAGCAUUUUCAAAGCUGAAAUGAAAGGCGUUAAUGUAGACUAAAGGUGACGGUAUUCUUUUUAAACUGCACAGAAGCCAAGCUUUUGCAAGGUUAGUAGUUAAAUAAGGGAGGGUAGAUAGGGAAAAUACCAUGGUGACGAUAUUUUUAUACAGAUUAAGUUAUAUAUUUUACAUGCCCACUAACACUCACUACACGCGUGUUUUAUUUUGUUUUGUUUUGUUUUUAAGUUUGUUUAGCUAAUUCAAUUUAUCGACCUCCUUGUGAUUUUGUUUCUGCAUGACAAAGAGAAGAACUCGUAGGAAUUUACUGUCCCCUUAGUAUAUCAUGUGCAGGUGCUCUGGAAGAACAGCAGUUAAUGGGUUAAGCAGCUUGCGGGAAUAUCAGUGAUAACGCAAAGUAAGGAAACGAUGCGGGGUAUUUAACGCUGAUGAUUCUUCUCACAUGGUAAGACUUUUUAGCAUCUCUAACGCUUAGACUUGCGCUUGGACAGUCUGUCUUUUGUGCAGGAAUCCUUUUGAAGCAGGGAUGACAACUGGCAUUAUAACUUUACCAAUUCACAUUCAGCAUAGCUUACAUUUGUAUUUUGACAUCAAUUUAUUACAGCCGUAAACAAACCACAAAUGAAUCUCUAUCUACCAUGCCUUGCCUCUGUCAUACAGGAUUACUCGACCACAAAGCACCAAGCUUUUUACAUAAUACUGUUAAGCAAAAGCUUCGGAAAUAUGAGAGAAGGAGCAACUAUUUAGAGAUGAAUUUUAAACAGCCUAAAUUGCAAAGGGCGAAUUAGAACCUGAACACAAUGCAAGUUCCUACUGCACAGGUAAAUACUCUCUAGCCAAGCAAGCAGCGAUGGACACUUGUUUGCAUGGUUUGGAUUUGUGCAGGAUGGGAGAAAACUUGGCGCAAGACAGGCAAAAAACCAUCUUGUUAAAGGAGAAAUGCACACCUUAACAGAGCUGGCAUACGUAUCAUAUGAACACAAACUGAGAGAACUUGCUACAGACCCUGAUCUUGCCAACACUUAGAAACAUGCCUAAUCUUAUUCUUAGCAGCAUUUCUGCUGAAUGCAAUAGAAAUCUCUUUGAGCAAUGCAAUUACGUACACAAUUGUUAGGAGAAUCUGGGCUUAAUGUGGUGUUAUUCAAUGGGUCAGGUCCAACCUCUUGUACUUGAAUUAAUUUAAUAUAUUUAUUAAGGCCCUCUUAAAUAUGUUUAUAGUCAUGCCAGUGUGCCUUGCUUCUAGUAGUGACAAAUCAGUAGGUUACUGCCUGUGAAUUAUAUUUGUAGGAUCAGGCUUCUGAAUUGCUCCUGCAAAUAUUAAUAUUUAUUGCAUAGCAGUUACCAUCAUGGGUGAUUUCACUGACGAACCUGAAAAAAACCUGUAUUAAAUUAUUUUUGGGCUACUGGAAUAAUGAAACAUUGCACAGAGAAAAGCAGCAGCCAGUAAAGAAAAACGCAAGAUUCUCCUUAUUUUCUGCAGUGAUCUCUCACAAUGAAAUAUGCUUAUUUAAUCCUGGCAUGUAAAGUAUACAUAUACGAUGCCACUGAGAGUAAGGUGUGAAAUGCUCAGCAUGAUGCAGGGGAAAUGUGGCUCAGUUGGCCAGGACUACACAGGUGUAUGGUGUCUAGCCCCUAUCCCUUUGAGGGAGGGGAAAGUGCCUAAACCCCUCCAGGGAUUUUGUCUUUGAUCUCUGCUAACUGAUACAAGGUUACUCACUCUGGAAGCUGGCAACAGGUCAGUUUAUGCAAAGCAGAAGGGUUGUGAGGAAAGAUGAAAUAACACAUAUUCAUUCAGUUUCUCUAGCUUGGACAUCUUAUUACUUGUGACCCAAGUUUACCACUGAGAAAGUUCCCAAGGACUCUCCACCCUUUUUUGGACCUCCAGGUGAUAACAGCGGUCAAAAGCCUGUCUCAUUCUUUCUGGUCAGAAGCUGUAAACCUUUUUCUUUUCAAAAAGGACAGACCAAUCCAUGCUCUUGCCAAUCAAAAUAUUUUAGAAGGCAGGUAUGACUCCUGUUUUGAAGGCGUGAAGAAUCAUAUGCCUGAAUAGCUGGCAUAUUAUUUGGGACAUGGAUGGCAAGGUCAUGGACCUAUAUACAAAGGGAGCUAUUUUUUACCAUUUUACCACCCUCAUUCUUCAGAAACUGCAAGCCAGAGGGCUGUGCCUCUCUUGACUCAAACUAUCAAGUGGUGGCAGCAAUGGGCAGCAAGCAGGGUACACCUGGGGAAGGACAAUUUUCAGAAGAGGCUAAACUAUGAAUUUGCAUUCAACAUUAGCUGUGGUUUUACAGGCCUAUGGGUGGCUGCAGGUCCACUGAGGGUAUUGCUGAGUGAAGGAAUGAGUUAAACCAACAGCCAGAGGAGGAGCUCAGGCCAGGCAGAGCCCCAGAAGGAGGAGUGAUGAGAUGUGAUUUGGCUAAUUCUUCCUACCGAUGCAGAUGCGGUUUCAAUGCACAGCAACACAGUGCACCCAACUGCAUGACUGAAGCAGCACGUCCCUGGGGACAUUCCUCCACAGCAACCUUCCUGCUCAUUUCUUCAAGGGGGAGAUUUAAUUAUCAUGAAGUUACUGCAGCAGCAGCCUGUGUUGAUGCCCCCCCCUUCCUUUAUCCUGCUUAGUCAGCCUGGUUCAGCUUUGCUGGGAGGUUUGUUAAGAUCUAAAGCUAAGGCUGGGCUCAUUCUUACGCUCGCCUGCUGUGGGUGUGCGUCGGCAUGCAGGUGUUCAGUGUGUGCUCCCUCACCCAGGGCCGCAGAACCAGGCAGAGGGUAGGGGGGGACUUUCUCCUCCUCUGCUGCACAAGAAGCAUCCAAAUCUGGCUUUUAAAAUGCUCUCUGGAAUGUCACCAAUGGGACAGUUUUCUCCUUGGUCUUACAUGGCUGUUAAUAAACAUGUAAGAGUGGAGACUGGGUUAAAGUUACCACUGCAAAAAUACCUUUCGGCAUUUGGUCUUGUGUCCACUCCUCAUACCUGUGGACCAGAUGUGUGAAAUGCAUUCCUGCGCAGUUAGGAUACAGCACGUUUUUCCUUCCUCAAAGUGAAAUUUGUGUCCCUAACAUUAAGCAGGGAGAGGCUACACAGAGGUGCAGAAGCAGAGUGAUCACAUCUAGAGCUGAGGGAACAUCCAGUCUUAUUUUCCCAGCACUCAAAUCCCAGGGAGAGCAACGGGUUUAGUCCUGGACACUGUGUUAUGGGCUGUAUAUCAGUGAAUGAGAGAGAUUACAGAGAAAGGCAACUACGGUGAUUAAAGGACUGGAAGGAACCUAUAUGGAGAGAUUAAAGGAAUUAAAUACAUACAUAUAAUUUGGGGUAAAAGGGAAUCCCAGGGGACAGUGUGACUGUGGUUUACAAGUACAUGAAAGACAACUAUAAAGAGGAAGGGGAGGAACUGUUUUCCUUAGUGGAAAAAUGAUAAGACAAGAAAUAACAGAUGCCAACUGAAGUAAAACAAGUUCAGUUUUAAGAGCAAGGGCAACGUUGAUCCUAAGAUCAAAUAGGUAGGAGAAUACGCUCCCAGGGAAGCUGCAGAUUCAACAUCACUUGAACUUUUCAAGUCAGAGCUUGACAAGCACCUUGGAGGGGAAAGUUUAAGAAAUAGUAGAAGUGAAGCCAAAAAGCACCAGGAUAUAUGGUAUGACCUAGAAGCCCAGAUGAUUUUGAAGCCAUUUGAAAGGGUUGCAGGAAAGAAACACACAAAACCACGCAGGGCUUCUGGAUGAUUUCUUGCUCUGCAUGGUUCAAAAUUAAAAGGAGGGAGGGGGGAAAGGCUAAGCAAGGAAAAUAAGUCAUUUAAUAUGAUUCUGCUGUGGUUAAUCCCCAGAGGAGAAGCCAAUUACUAGAAAUACUUCAGAGUAUGGGGUGGAGAAGGGAAUGGAAAUUGUUGAAAAGCUGCCAUCUGGUAUAAGUACUUGCUGGUUUGGAGACUUAAAAAAUACGCAUUGUUUGCCAUUAUACUAUGCUCAUUACAUACCUAGAUUAAUGCAGAUAACAUCACCCACACCUAGUGUUUUCUGUGGCAUUUUAUGUACUCAGGUUCACACCAUAACCACCUCCAGCACUAAUUGUAACAUUUGGGCUUUUGAUCUUCUGCUCUGGUAGGAACACUACAGAUGCCUUGUACCAGCAAAUGGGACCAAAAAAGAAGAAAAAAAAAAAGGAAAGUCAGGCUCCUUUUGUUACAGGACAUUUAAAAGGAGCAGUAAAUCUGACUCACCUGGAGAGCAAGGAACAACUCUGGCAUAAGAAGGAUUCUGCAGAUGGCAUAGAAUUAAUAUAACUACUUUAUUCUCUGCUCCAGCCCCUCAUGAGGGUGAGGGCAUUUUGGUGGAGCAGGAACUGCAGCUCGGCUAUCAGCUGACCUUGAGUGCUCUGGCCAGCUUGAAUCAUAUUGGAGAAGCCCUGACGAUAUUUUGAUUGAUGCUAGGAGCCAUGCAGGUGGAUUUCCCUCCUGUGCCCCAUAUUUUGCUUCUACAAUUAGCAGUGACUGACCAGGCAGAGAAUCAGUCCACUGAAUGUACUUGGUCUAGGAAAAAUAGUUCACUAUAUCCAUGGUGAUAUUAUAAUAAGCAAAAUGUAACGGUAGCAUUCACACUGCAUCUGAUACAAAUUACUUGGUAUGGCUUUGCCUUUCUCAGGUCAGUUUGCUUGAUUUUCAGUUAAAAUUAAGUAGGAUUUAUAAAUGAUUGCAAAAGUUCCUGUAAGGUCAUAAGCAGGAGAUUGAAAGCCUUAGUGUAUUCACGGGACAAAGCUCCUUCUCCAGUCAUCACCACUGUGCUUUACUGCUGACAUGGGAAUCUCUGGGACAUUGUCCAUAGCUUAAGUGAAUAAAUAAGCAAUAUUAAAACUUUGUACAGAAGCCUAAAUCACUACUAACUUUGGCCCAAAUUUGAGACAAUGUGAUUAAGACAGAAAUACUUUUGAAUCCAAAAUGUCCUUCCAUUAUCCCUCCAAAUAAGGGAUUUGUUGUUCAUGUCAACAAGAUGCAGAGAUGCUUCAAUCCUAAGGAAAGGGAGCUUCUGACAGCAUAACAGAAAGGAAGAAAGACAGUUUCCAGGGGAGGCCCCCUCCCUCCCAGGCUUGCCAGAAGGAAAGUCGUGGUCUUGCAACACUGUGGACUGGAGUUAACAUCUAGGAACAUUAGGAUGCUAACUGCAUCCUUCUUCUUCCUACACUACUUUUACCAUUUGGAAACUGUGACAGACUAGAAUGAUGAAACAGGAAGUGUUCAGAAGAAAAGAGUGACAUUAGUCCCACUACGACAUUUUGAUGCUCAUAUCAGCAGGUGAUAUUAUUAGCAAAGCCACUCAGUGAAGGAAUGGCUUCUCUGCUCCUACUGGCCCUUCUGUCCUUCAUCUUCUGUUUUAAAGGGAUGGGUUUUAUUUCUCUCUCUCCAUUUCCCCUUGUUCCAUGACCCAUUCAAGGGUAAUGGGGUAAGUGCUGGUAGCUGAUUCACUGCCCACAUUGCAAUGCUCCAUGCAGUGACUUUGCAGAGCAUUUCCAGUAGCUGCUCAACAAACUGGCAGCAAGCAAAUGACUGGGAUCUCUUUCCCAGGGAGAUCGCAGAGGGGAUGCAGCAAGAGGCCAUUGCAGAUUGAGCUUUAGGUUUAAUUUGACUGAACGAGACAGAAACCAGCUUUCAGUCUCAAAUCCAGUUUGCUACUUUAAAUACAGCAUGUGGUGUGAAACAGAAUCACUUUUCUUCAGUAUUUUUGCAGCCCUCCAGGAAAGGCAGGCAGUACCCUUGCUGUGUGAGCCUCAGCAAGAGCUGCCAUGGUCAGAGUGGUAUUGUCUGCGGGACAGGUACUGCUGUCCUGACACAGAGAGUCCCCUUACCCACAGCUAACACAAAAUGUCUACUAGAGUAAAUCUCAGUGUGAUUAAGGGUAGUAAAUCCCAGGUACCUAAUUUCUGUAGGAGGCACAGAGAGAGAUCUGGCCACAAGCUGUUCCCCACCAUAAACUAGGCUUCUCCCACUGUCUGUCUCAGGUGAUGGGGCUGGUAACACCUGCACAAAGCCCUGCAAGUGCCCUCAGCCUGUUUCAUAUCAGUCUGCUCUUCACUGCCUGGCAUACUUUAUAUUUAACCCUCCUCAGCAUAACAAUGACUUCAUGCAGAAAAGGCUUUUGCUUCCAAGCUGUUAGAGGGAUUGUGCUUGAGACUUUCACCACAGCAUCCCUUGAUUGAACUGGAGAUAGAGGAAGGAAAGCCUGACUGAGAUGCGAAGGUGCUAUUAACCACACUCCUCACUGCUAAUGCAUUCUCACAGCCACAGAUGAAGCCACAAGUUAAUCUCCUAAAUUGUUUCUUCUCCACUUAACAUCCCACCUGUGCCUGACUCUGCAUGUGCUUAGCAAGUCUGAGCUUGGGUAUGCUGGUGUCACCCUGUACCACCUGCACCGUACCCAGCAGGGUGCAGCCACCCUGUACGGGCCAGUUCAUCAGCUGUGGGACAUGUGGUCUAGCAUUUGGAAAAGUUUCGGGAAUACAGACUCUUUAGUUAUAGACCUUAGUGUCAGUAAUAAGAAGAGAAAAUAUCUAGAUAAUUUUGAAGGUGAUUAACAAUAAAAUCUCCAGCUAAAAAGCCAUCUAGUGCUAAGGUGGCACCAGCAUUUGUCACAUAGACACAUUAAGCUUCUGCUGAACUUCACCCAGUAAAAUGCAUUUGCAGUUUUAGGAUGAGCAUGUGCUUGUGGGACAAGGCCUAGGAAAGAAAAGGAUGUACUAGGUCUUAUAUGUGUGUAAGGUUACAACUCUUAUUUUGUUUUGAUAAUGAAAGUUUACAAGAAAAAUCUUGAAGUGUGUGUGUUCACAUGCUUUAUGUAGGAUACGCACACAGAGUGUUGUCAGAUGUCUCUGUGUUAAUGAUGUUUCAUCAGUAUCAGCUGCUCAGGACUGUAUGUGGAUGCUAAAUGUUACUUGCUUUUAGUGAUCCUAUAGCAAAAGGCCUUGAUGCUCAGCUGGUCUCAUUGGCAAAACAAUGCCUGUGCCAACCAACUGAUGGUGAUGGCUCUGCAAAAUAGGUGAAAUUCUGUCUUGGGAUCUUUCCAUGCAUGUCUUCCCCGGGUUGCCCUGGGGUUUGUGAAUGACAAGCCCAGCUAGAUAUAUUACCCUUCCUUAAAAUCUUACAUGAUUAUUCCCACAGUGGAACAAGCAGGGAAAGGAGGAGGUCUGCAGGCUAGAUUCUGCACUCCUGUCGAAAUGUGCCCUCCCCAGAGCCAAAAGGUAUGUCAUCCACUGGCUUUGAUCUCAACCACAGAUCUCCCUUGAGGUCAUAAUGAGGUUCAGCUUUGUAUCAAAGCCUCCGCUCCCAUUUGUCCAAGAUGAAAUCUGCACACCAGCGAGAGAGCAGAGUGUGGUCCAGGGGAAGGGAGGAAGCAGCCAAGAUUUCAGGUUGGGAUGUUUCUAAUGAAAUCAGGGAAUACAUGUGGAAACAAAAGGCUGUGAGAUUUACUAGGGAUUUUCCGCUGGCCAAAUUUCAUAUUUCGAGAGCACUGCUAGCUUUUUAAGUGUUAUAUUCUAUAAAAAUAUUACAACCUCACUUGUCAGCACAGGGCCAGAAACCUACAGACACUACAAACACUUCAACACAUGCAACAUUACCUAUGAGGAAAACUGUGCGUGUGCUUAAGUUAUUCCACAAAUGGUUGAAGCCAUCAGUUUGUGAGAGCAGGUUCCAAUUCCCGUUAAAUCACAGGAACUCUUGCACCAGAGCCAGUAUAAAAGGGACAAUGAAAUAAGGUGUACUUCUGUGAAAGGCUAAUCCAGAAACUAUUUGGGACUAUUUGGCUGUUGUUCUUGUACUGAACAGAAAAACAAGAAGUGGUAUGUUGUUUACCUUUCUUUUGAACUUUGUCUUAACACUGCUUGAAUGAAGAAGAAGAGACCUGCACAGGAAACACACUCCUUUUCCCAAGGAAAAUAAUAGAAAGCGGAAAGAGAAAAAAGAAGAAAAGCCCACAGAAAGCCCAGUGAUAUGAAAUGAAACAGCACAAUCUCUACCACUCUAGCAACUCUUACACAACCCUGGGUUAUGACAUUGUUCAACUGCCACAGGAGGACUGCGAGAGACCUCAGGCAAAUGUUUCAUCAGUUGCACAACAAGAUGUUUCCUGGGCUUUGCCGACAGUGGUUCAGCAGAGAUGCAAUAGCCCCUCUGUUACGGGGCAGAUAAAGCACCUCCUGCUAGCUGCUAUCUUCAGAUGCUAACUCUACAGAAAUGGUUCCUUCUUUCCAUCCCUCUGUAUAGCUUUGGGUUUGAGCUUUUGAAAUGUACAGGCCUUUAGUCCUCAGCUCUCUCGUGGCUUUUUUAUUAUCAGUUUUCACCCUCCUUUUCCUAUUGCUUGUUGCUCGUCUAUCAGAGUGUGAGCACCUUGUGGACAUUUACAUAAAGAUAAGGAAUGAUGGGGCUAUGCAAGACACAUGCAUGUUGAUAUCAGAGAGGAUGCAUCUCCAGGGAAAACUGAACUACAGACCCAGCAUGGAUUUGGGUUUCAUACUUUUCUUCCCUAACAUAAUACCUUAGCUGUCAGAAAAUGGUAGAGACUGUAAAAGACCUUCUUUAACACUUAUUUUAAUUUGGUUAUUUGGGGAUUCUAGAAAAAAGCUACCAGUUCUUUUGGAUGAAUGUUUUUUACUCACAGUGUGUGUGUUCAGCAGUGCAAAGAUGGUCAAAUGAACAUGAAAGUGAAACCUCAGCUAAAUUUUUACUACAUCAGCUACACUAACUGCCCCAUUGGCCACUUUUCAGCCAUAUAGCACAGUGUUAACUUGGAGGUGGCAGGGGGCAAAGAAGACGUCAUAAGAGCCAAAUAAAGAGGUAGUCUUAAUUUUUACAUAUAUAUGGCAAGGGUUGCUCCAGCAGCAAAGUUCUGACCCGAUACUUAUAUAAGGAAGACAUACAUUUUGGCAAGACUUUAGAUUUUAAAAUGGAAAUCUGUUUUUCUGAAGGUGUUAAAGACCUGCACAUCUCAUGGACUUCCAGUGAAACUGGUGUUCAGAUCAUCUGGAAGUCAGGACUGAGAUAACUUUUUAAACUCAGUAAUUUGAGGCAUUGCAUAAAUUUCAAGAUUAGUCCUUGAGGAGCUUUAUAAUAUGUUUUGUAAAGCAAAAACAAACAUCAGUCUGAAAUUAAAUGGAAGUAGCUGGGAGCACUGUGCCGUUUGAUGAUGUCCCUCUAGCAGGUAAUAGAAAAAGUGAAAGUGGAUUACUGUCUCCUGUUUUCAGAUUGAAGGUAUGUUAGCCACAGAGCUUUCCAAAACUGUAAACACAGCCCUGCUAAGAAAAAUAGGUAUACUAGGUUAUGCAGCGUUUUGUCUUAUAUAUUGCUCUUAAUACCCCCACACAUACUACAGGACACCUGUCCAAAACAGCUUCAUGUUGACUAUAAAACUUUUACUUCACUGACUAUGCAAGACGUUCCUGUCUGUGAAAUGACUGGAUUCCCACAUGCAUCCCUUUAUGUACCUUGUAGUGCUUUGAUAAACUUACAUUUCUGAAACUCUAGGGUCUCGGCUCACUUGGCUUCUGUGGCAUGUGGCAUGUGCUAUACAAAGCACACUUUGCUAUACAAAGAAACACUCAAGUAAAGGAACGUAAUCUGAUGUUCCUUUCCCAUCUUAACAUCCAGCCUCUGUCAAUCUUUUUUUUAAGACUGCAGAGAGAUUUCCCAAUAAAGCAUAGUUUUCACUUUAUGAACAGAAGUAAUUUUAGGGUUCUUUGAACUGAGCUAAACAACUGACAUAUUUUAAAAAAGCAUAACGCAGAUCAAAAAAAGCCAAAGAGGCAAGUAAGAAUGAAACAGGAUGGAGUACACGUCCUGUUUUUGACAUGCAACACCAUCUUUAACUAGUUUUGAAGCACUACAUCCUCUUUGCAGAGCCUUUAGCAACCACCUUCUGAAGCAGGUUGUUUUUCUGGAAGUGGGAUGUCAUGAGCAUUUGCCUGUGUUUCUAAGGAGAUUGCCAAGAUUGUGGAUGAGGGUGGAUUUCACUGAAAAGUACACAUAGCUACUGGGAAAAUUCAAAUGCCAGGGCUUUUUUGGAUACGGGUAAUAUUUAUAUGCACUUUCACCAUGCUGAAGCUGGAUGUGUGCUCCAGAGAAAUCAAAUUCUGCGAGACAUUUGGAACAACAGCUAAAAUUUCAUUUGUUUUGGAACUGCCUACUGGACAUUUGAAAGUAAUCAAAAGCAAGUUUAUAUCUAUAUAUAUAUAUAGAUAUAUUUUUUUUUUCUUACAUGAGUUGUCCUUCCAUCACUAUCUCCUUAUAAUAAAGUCAAAGAGUUGUGAAAUGGUUAUGUUUAUAAAAAGACAGAGCUUUGCAACCUAGGAAUCCAUUUGCUGAUUUGCCUCUCCAGGGGCACAGCCAUCAGGCAGCUGCCUCCCCCCACCAGCACGGGCUGCUACAUCACUUGGCAACGGAAGCGCACACUGUACACAGCACUCGGGGCUUUUCUGCGUCGUGUGGCCACCCCCGAGCUGAGCUCUGCUGCAGGACUGCAGGCUCAGGGAAGCAACAAGCUCUCAGGUCUGCACUGGCUGGGAGGGGGAGCUUUGCAAUGACCUGGCCAAGCCACAAUGCCAACCCAGCCAGCCCCGGCCACAGCCAAAUGUCAACUUACUGUCCACCCCAAAAGCCUGGGCUUCUGCCCUGCUACCUCUGCAGCAGUUGUAUCUGGACCAAGAAGCAGUUUUCACCUCUCUCCUCUUCUGAGAGCUACACCAGGCUGUAAUUACAUUGCCAAAGGGAAGAGGUGAAGGUGUCCAUUAACUCCCCUACCUGGAGCCACCCACCUAUGUGUUUUUGACAAAAUUCACGUUCAUUAAGCGAGACUUUCUCAGCCAGACUUGGCCAGAAUCACUGCAGAACUGACAUAUUUUUCAACUUUCCCCCACUCUCUGGCCUUGUACCAGCACAGAACCUAGCCCAUGGACUCAGACUGGUGUAGUCUAACCUGGUUUGAAAUCCAGGACUGAAAACAAGAGGCACAUGUACCACAGGACAAUUAAAAUGCUAAAAUGCCAAAUGAAACCACACCUAGAAGCCUGUCAGAGCUGUUUCCAAGCAGAUUUCAGCAAGCCACCAACAUCUCUGUCACCAUCUUGAAGACAUUGCACAUAUAUCUUGGUUGCCAGUUGUUUGCCAAGAGACCCAACACAGGGCUAGCUGGGAGCUCAUGUUCCCUCUGAGUGUGAUAAUACAGAAAGUUUUCCUCCUGUGUAGGGGUAAAUCUAGGAUGCUUCAAAUCUUUCCACUGGGUAGGAGGCCUGCUUGGGUGGCCAGGAUGAGCCAUGCCCAGGAGGUGAAGGCUGCCCAGCACUAGAAACCCAUCAACUGGCUCUCCCAGCCUCUCUUGUUGGAGUGGGUCCUAUCUGCAAGGAUAGCUAUGCACAGAUGGAGCAGGGACAGGACUGGGGCCUCCCACAUUCAGGCAUGGCUGCAGAGGCAGUCUCUAGUUUAACCUGACAUCACACCCCAGAAACUGAAGGAUGUUUUCCAGUCAAAACCAGUACAUAUUGGGUUUUGGUUUUGUGAACAGCUUUAGUUUUGAUAAACUGAUAUUUUCUGGAAAAAAAAAAAAAAUUAACCCACCUACCAUUUCUCAUCUUAGCCAGAAGGACAGAUGUGAUCUGGGGAGCCAAAGAGGCACCAUCAGAGAGGGUUCUGACAAGUAUGGGACAUGAAUUUGAAUAAUUUAUUAGACUUCUCCAGUGCCAGGCAACUGUCUGGAAAGAACCAAAACUGUGACGUCUACAUCUGAACCAUGCAAAGCCAGAAGUCUUACAGAACGUGCAAAUAAGGAAAACCAGGCAGCACAGAUACAACACGACUCACUAUCUUUUGGAGCAAAAUCUUUCCCAGAUCUCCAUUUAGCAAUCUGUCAGGCUGAGUAGUUUAAAAGUAGGACUGACAACUCUAGGAAGCAAAGCACUGUGUCUGUGCUGUAGCUCCUGCCACAGUGAUAUGGAGACCGAAUCCACCAUGUACUGAGAUAUUUGGGUAGUGGUAGCACCCCAGUGCUGCAGACACAUUGCUGUAUCUUCUUGUCCAGCAUGCCACCCAACGGGAGAUUCCUGGAUGUGGUGAUAGGACAAACCCCAGAAUACCCAGGCUGAGCAUGGGGUUGUUCUUUGCCCCCAUUCCAAUCCUUUCCACAGCUCCUGGCAGAAGGAAGAGGGAAAAGAGAAGGGUGGAAUGUAGAAGAACAAGGGCCGUCUUUCACAGACUGGGAUGGAGUGCUUUUUCUUGUGGCCAAGCUGAACGAAGAGCAUCACACUUUUUCCAGAUGUGAAAGGAAUGCCACAAAAAAUGCUAUUGGCUUUGUGUUACCCCAGGGCAUGCUCCCACCCUGCAGAGCAGGGUUCACGACACAGCCUGCUCAGCCUCACUGGUGGUGGCACUGAUGGGAUAACCUUCAAGAUGUACUCACUCUAACAAGACCUACUUCAGUCCUCCAGACCCUACUCUGUGAAGCUUUCCCACCAGAAGAAGAAAGAAAAUCAGAAGCCCAAGCCAAAUCCCACCUCACAGUCAUCUCUCCACCUUCACUGAUUUAUUCACCCAUGUAGCAUCUCGAACAGACCAAGGCAUGAAGAAAGCAAAAAGCUUCAUGAUGAUGUUGUCUCACUAAGGUUAUGUUUCGCUUCAGUGUGCCAGGGGGCCAUCCCAGGCAAAAAUCUAUAACAGUGACAGGGGGUGCACAAAGUCUGAGCAGGUCCCUUGGUGAAACUAUAGAAGAAUACAGAAGGUCCUUUCUGCUCCUCUGCUCGCUAGUCUCUCAGAGCCGUGUCUACCAUUAUUCCCAUUUGGAGGUUGCUGCACCUCAGAAGAAGGGAAGGUUUAUUGUUCAGUCUUCUUAGCAGCUGUUGCCAUUACAGAUUGUUGGUGCCUUUGCUUUGGGAGGCAGCAUCCUUCCAAUUUUGUACCCUCCACCACUCAUUUGGUUCCUGUUGCCUGCCCAAUAAUGUUGAUUAGGCUUCAGGGCAGAAGCACCGUUUUGCACUUUCUUCUCAGACAGGGUUUCAAUUGCGGAGAAAACUCAACCUUGCUUUCUUUAAUAAUUUACAUGGCAGUAUUGUGUGGAUACUCUUAACUGCUACUUAAAAGUAAUUAAUUGAUUUUCUGACAUAUCAGUUAACAAUGUAUUGCACUGACAUGAAGUUGUGAUGCUGCUGUUGAUUGGGCUGGAUGACUAAAUGCAUCAUACUCAGUUCAGGAGCUGAGCUUAAAAGACUCUAAAUAUAUUCUGCUAUAAAAGGAAAGGCAUUUUACAUGUAGUGUUGUCUAAAACUUGAAUCCAUAUGGUGCCUCCAAUGCUGUCAGAGUGAAGUAUUUCAUUGUUAUUUACAGUAGACCGAUAGUAUUUAAAUUUAGAACAUCCGGUAGGUAUGAAAACACAAUUUCUGUCAGCUGGAGACAAUAGCACAUGUUGAACUGCAGAAAGAAGGGAGGCUGCAGAAGGGCUCUAUGUGUGUAUAUGUAACUGAACUGGGAGACGUGGCUGGAGCAUCUCCUUUCUCCAUACUAAGUUGCCUACCCUGUUCAAAACCCAGGAGCACUGCAGAUGCAUAUACAGAUGAGUCUGAAGCAGGAAGACAAAAGGACAGAACCCGUUUCUGGAGAUUAAUGGUGGUUUAUACAGCUUUUUAUCUUUACAGUAAGUCACCAGUUCUAUUAAACUCCAGGGCUGGGUGGCAACUGCAGGUUAAAUAAAUUACUGCAGUCAAAAUGUUCAAACCAGCCCUAUUCUGUUAGAUAACUAAAUAAAAGAAGACCAGCCCUUUCUGUCUUAAAUGAAAUUACGUGAGGAACUUACGAGCAUUUAUUACACUCCACAAUCACAAAUUCAGAAAUCUUCUGUUUAAUUACUUAGGCUUGAAAACUCUGACCUGAGUAGAUAGUGCGUGGGGGACACUACUGGAAAUAUUUUCAUUCAUUAUAAAGGAUAUGAAAUUACUUGCUUGUGAUCUCUGCUUUGAUAUAGCUAAUCCCAUCAUGGAUAACUUAGAAGGUCAAAUGCUUAAAUUUUAUGUGUUGCAGAAUACUUCACAUGUUGAACACUGUUUUGCUUCUGUUCUCAAAUAAUCUUUUUUCUCCUUCCUUCUCUUGCUACAAAACACCACAAAAACAUCAGCUGAGGAUCAGACCAAUUCUCCUCUAAAAGUGUUCUUUUAAUAAAUAUGGAUAUUUUAUGUUAAA